GUGAGUUAUUUAUAUAUAAAAUUGAAUAUAGUUAAUUAAAUACAGAAGCCAGAAGAUCUAGGUAAAAUGUAUAAAAUUGUUAUUAGCCGACUAAUUACAGUCGCGUAAACCGAGGUCGUCAAACGCAUGGAUAUUGUUUGACAAUCAAGGGAAGUUAAAAUUACGACUACCGCGUGGACGAUGCUUUUAUACAUGAAUUUAGAGACAAUGACAAACCAAAUAGAUCUCACCGACAUUUAUUAUUUAUUUUAGUCUAUUUAUUGUAGUUAUUUAUUAUUAUAGUUAUUAUUUGUCAAGCAUAAUACUGAAUUGUAAAAAGUAAAUGUCUUUAUUUGGCUCCAAUUGUAAUACUUGUCUAGUUGGCGAACAUUCGAGUUAAAUAAUG